rnacentral:rRNA from 1 species
UACGUAGGUCCCGAGCGUUGUCCGGAUUUAUUGGGCGUAAAGCGAGCGCAAGUGGUUCAUUAAGUCUGGUGUAAAAGGCGGUGGCUCAACCAUUGUAUGCAUUGGAAACUGGUAGACUUGAGUGCAGGAGAGGAGAGUGGAAUUCCAUGUGUAGCGGUGAAAUGCGUAGAUAUAUGGAGGAACACCGGUGGCGAAAGCGGCUCUCUGGCCUGUAACUGACACUGAGGCUCGAAAGCGUGGGGAGCAAACAGG